AGUCUCACUCCCUACUCGUCAAAUGUCUGACGCAUGGUCAAGUGAUCUGGCGUCACUUUUUUGACGCACUGGGUAUACCUUUGGCGUUAUUUUUCAACGUGCAGGUUAGUCCGAUAGACUUCUAUAGAACUCAGCAGCGUUUAAAUUUGACGUCUUGGUUCAGCACACCGCAACGACACUGAAUAAAUAAAAAUAAGUAAUAGGCUACAAAAAAAAUAUAUAUGACAGAGAUCGUUUUUAUCUGGCCCUCCAAAUUGUUUUUGAGGUUUAAAUAUUCUCGCAAUCUGAUAUCAAAGUGAUCUCUGUGCCAAAGCUUAGCGCGUUCAUCAGUGGUGAGUUUAACAACACUCAACUGCAGGUAAAACAGCAUUCAGCGGUGAGUUUGACCAAAGCAACACUCAACUGCAGGGAAAACGGCAUAAAAAGUUCAUCAUCUCUAUGAAAUCACGUUCAAGAAGUCUCAUUCAGCACACAUCGCGAUACUUGCCAUCAGUUUCCAUGUGCCACAGGGUCGCUGAAAAGAUGUAAAGGAAGCAGUCAUCCCUGUGGUGUUUGUGGAGAGGUAUUUUUUCAGAAAUGGAGAAGACAGAAAGCUGCGGAGGCAGACAUUUGCAGCAGAUUGUUUGCAGAUAAUGCUGUUCAAGCUCAACAGCUCUUUUAAGAGCCAACCCUCACAAACCUUCCUAAAAACUAAAAGAGCUAUUACUGAGUCUCAGCGAAUCUUGCCAUGAUCAGCUCUUCCCAGAAGAGAAGGAAGACCAAGGAAAUGAUUUGCUCAUGAGGAAUGAAGACGGCCAUCUUAAGCCCAAACAAAGACAGAAGUCCUCUGAUGAUCUCAUCAGCCAAAUGGGGGGUUUUGACCAAGUGAUGCUCUUGAAAGGACUGAAAGAAGAGGAUGUGGUAAAUUGUCUUCAGAGAAAAACCUUCUCUAAAGGUCUUAAAACAGC